rnacentral:lncRNA from 1 species
UAAUAGCAGAAUCUUCUCUAGAUUGGACGCUAUUGAGAUCAAGAAAACAUUUAUUGGUAUCAAGUGGGUCUUGGCUUUGACCAAGAAAACUGAACUCUUUAAUGUAGUUGGCUUUCAGUAACCUUACGUCUCUCUUUGGCCCUGAUGCAGAUACCCCUUCUUGUAAUUUCAAACAAACAGUCAAGGAAUUCUCAAGAACCAAUAAAAAAGAAAGUUAAAAACAAUAAAAUCAAAUGAGAAAUGUGAAUUAAAGGAUAUGAAGGACGAGGAUGUUGGAGGGUUUGUCAAAGGCGAUAACUUGGGCUUCAAACUCGUCGCCUAAAGUAGUCUUGAUGGAUAAAAUGCAUCCAACUGCGAACUCUUCGGUGUUGUAAGCUUCCAUGGUAGCAGGGUCUCUUCAACUGAGAUGAAUGACAGAAACACGCUCUUCAAUUCUUGGCUUUGCCAAAGGGGCGUCAAGAGGCUUUGUGAAGUUAACUUUAUUUUUUGAAAGAAAAAAGGGCAAUUAGAUUUCUUCUAGUUUUUAUAUAUCAAAAAUAACUCCUGUUUGACCAUAAAAUAUUUGGAAGUUUUUUCUCAAAGAAAAAUUGAAAUAUAUAUUUGUUUAUGUUAUGAAAUAAUAUAAGAACAAGAACAAUAAUACAAGAACAAGA